CUCGAGGCCAGAUCUUUCCGGUUGAUCCCGCCGGACCUGACUGCUAUCGGAUUGAUACUAAGCCAUGCGAGUCUUUGUAGUAAUACAAGGCAGACGGCUCAGUAACACGUAGUCAAUCUACCCUAUGGACGAGGAUAACCUCGGGAAACUGAGAAUAAUACUCGAUAGAUCAUUAUGCCUGGAAUGGUUUAUGGUCGAAAUGAUUUAUCGCCGUAGGAUGGGACUGCGGUCUAUCAGCUUGUUGGUGAGGUAAUGGCCCACCAAGGCUAUAACAGAUACGGGCUCUGAGAGGAGAAGCCCGGAGAUGGGUACUGAGACACGGACCCAGGCCCUAUGGGGCGCAGCAGGCGAGAAAACUUUGCAAUGUGCGAAAGCACGACAAGGUUAAUCCGAGUGUUUUCUGCUAAAGAAAUCUUUUAUCAGUCCUAAAAACACUGAUGAAUAAGGGGUGGGCAAGUUCUGGUGUCAGCCGCCGCGGUAAAACCAGCACCUCAAGUGGUCAGGAGGAUUAUUGGGCCUAAAGCAUCCGUAGCCGGCUCUGUAAGUUUUCGGUUAAA
rnacentral:rRNA from 1 species